UAGUAACUGCGAGUGAAGCGGGAAAAGCUCAAAUUUAAAAUCUGGCGGUCUCUGGCCGUCCGAGUUGUAAUCUAGAGAAGUAAUGCCCGCGCUGGACCGUGUACAAGUCUCCUGGGAUGGAGCGUCAUAGAGGGUGAGAAUCCCGUCUCUGACACGGACUACCAGGGCUUUGUGGUAUGCUCUCAAAGAGUCGAGUUGUUUGGGAAUGCAGCUCAAAAUGGGUGGUAAAUUCCAUCUAAAGCUAAAUAUUGGCGAGAGACCGAUAGCGAACAAGUACCGUGAGGGAAAGAUGAAAAGAACUUUGGAAAGAGAGUUAAACAGUACGUGAAAUUGCUGAAAGGGAAACGCUUGAAGUCAGUCGCGUUGGCCAGGGAUCAGCCUCACUCUUGUGUGGUGUACUUUCUGGUUGACGGGUCAGCAUCAAUUUUGACCGCUGGAAAAAGGCCUGGGGAAUGUGGCAGCUUCGGCUGUGUUAUAGCCCCUAGUCACAUAUAGCGGUUGGGAUUGAGGAACUCAGCACGCCGCAAGGCCGGGUUUCGACCACGUUCGUGCUUAGGAUGCUGGCAUAAUGGCUUUAAGCGACCCGUCUUGAAACACGGACCAAGGAGUCUAACAUGCCUGCGAGUAUUUGGGUGGAAAACCCGAGUGCGUAAUGAAAGUGAAAGUUGAGAUCCCUGUCGUGGGGAGCAUCGACGCCCGGACCAGAACUUUUGGGACGGAUCCGCGGUAGAGCAUGUAUGUUGGGACCCGAAAGAUGGUGAACUAUGCCUGAAUA
rnacentral:rRNA from 1 species